rnacentral:rRNA from 1 species
UACGUAGGGGGCGAGCGUUGUCCGGAUUUAUUGGGCGUAAAGGGCGUGUAGGUCGCCAACUAAGUCAGACGUGAAAUCCCUCGGCUUAACCGGGGAACUGCGUCUGAUACUGGAUGGCUUGAGUUGGGAGAGGAUGCGGAAUUCCAGGUGUAGCGGUGAAAUGCGUAGAUAUCGGGAGGAACACCAGUGGCGAAGGCGGCACUCUGGGCCGGUACUGACGCUGAGGAGCGAAAGCGUGGGAGCGAACGAGG